rnacentral:rRNA from 1 species
AGUGAACGCUGGCGGUAGGCCUAACACAUGCAAGUCGAACGGCAGCACAGUAAGAGCUUGCUCUUACGGGUGGCGAGUGGCGGACGGGUGAGGAAUACAUCGGAAUCUACUUUUUCGUGGGGGAUAACGUAGGGAAACUUACGCUAAUACCGCAUACGACCUACGGGUGAAAGCAGGGGAUCUUCGGACCUUGCGCGAUUGAAUGAGCCGAUGUCGGAUUAGCUAGUUGGCGGGGUAAAGGCCCACCAAGGCGACGAUCCGUAGCUGGUCUGAGAGGAUGAUCAGCCACACUGGAACUGAGACACGGUCCAGACUCCUACGGGAGGCAGCAGUGGGGAAUAUUGGACAAUGGGCGCAAGCCUGAUCCAGCCAUACCGCGUGGGUGAAGAAGGCCUUCGGGUUGUAAAGCCCUUUUGUUGGGAAAGAAAAGCAGCAGGUUAAUACCCCGCUGUCCUGACGGUACCCAGAGAAUAAGCACCGGCUAACUUCGUG